rnacentral:lncRNA from 1 species
GUUUGAUGUAGUUAUAAUACUUCGUUUUUGAGAUAUGGCGCGACAUGUUAAAAAACCCACAUUCCUGUUUCACUUACAUUUCCUGUAACUCAAAAAGAUUUAAUUUGAUUUUCACUAAAAGGUUUACAGAUCGUUUGACCAUUAUAAGAAAUAACUAUGUUAAAUUUUAAGAAAUAAGAUAAGCUGUCCUCAAGUUACGGUGCGACAUGUUUAUGCUGGAAAGACGGAUAGACG